GAUGAACGCUGGCGGCGUGCCUAAUACAUGCAAGUCGAGCGAACGGACGAGAAGCUUGCUUCUCUGAUGUUAGCGGCGGACGGGUGAGUAACACGUGGAUAACCUACCUAUAAGACUGGGAUAACUUCGGGAAACCGGAGCUAAUACCGGAUGAUAUUUUGAACCGCAUGGUUCAAAAGUGAAAGACGGUCUUGCUGUCACUUAUAGAUGGAUCCGCGCUGCAUUAGCUAGUUGGUAAGGUAACGGCUUACCAAGGCAACGAUGCAUAGCCGACCUGAGAGGGUGAUCGGCACAACUGGAACUGAGACACGGUCCAGCCUCUUACGGGAGGCAGCAGUAGGGAAUCUUCCGCAAUGGGCGAAAGCUUGACGGAGCACGGCGGCGUGAGUGAUGAAGGUCUUCGGUUCGUAAAACUCUGUUAUUAGGGAAGACCAUAUGUGAAGGUAACUGUGCACAUCUUGACGGUACCUAACCAGAAAGCCACGGUUAACUCCGU
rnacentral:rRNA from 1 species